rnacentral:rRNA from 8 species
UGAACGACUCUCGGCAACGGAUAUCUUGGCUCUCGCAUCGAUGAAGAACGUAGCGAAAUGCGAUACUUGGUGUGAAUUGCAGAAUCCCGUGAACCAUCGAGUUUUUGAACGCAAGUUGCGCCCGAAGCCUUUNGGCCAGGGCACGUCUGCCUGGGCGUCACGC